CAGAAUGUGCGAGACCCUGUUUUGCCUCCCCGAGCUGAAGUUAAAAAUUAUUCAAUGUAAAAUUCCUGGCCUGUGAAACAGAGGCUCCGUACUGUACCAGGCAAAGAUUUUCACCAGCAUUCUCUUGCUUAGCCAAGGCGGAGAUAACAGGCACUGCAAAGCACUGGGAAUAAAUCUGCUCCUCCGAGAGCCCGCUGGGGUGUUCAUCUCCCACCUUGUUUUUCCUUUGCUUAAUAAGGUACUGUGUGAACCUAGAGUUGAGAUUUGACUUGACUUUUUUUUUCUUGAUGUGACCCAGGCUGAAUGAAGUUUGCUGGUGGUUUUUUUUUUUUUGCAUUUAAAUGACAAGAGCAACAGGAGAGAGCAAGAAGAUACAGCCAAGAUACUGGAGUUGCCCGUGGCUUUCCAGGAAGACCAGAAGGACUUGAGCUCUCCAUGCAAAUGGAUUCCCGAGCUAUCAGGAGGAGAGGUGCGCGGGGAGCAGCCGGGAGCGCAGCGUGCCCAGCUCCAUGUGCCUCCCACCAGCAGCUCUCGCCUGCCCGGGCACGCAUGGAGCACGCCGUGCUGCCUGAUGGCAUACGAAACCACCAGGUGGCUCCGGCACACCCUGACUCCUGCAUUCAAAUACAAGAGAGAGGUGCAGGAAGGGGUGCCGUGACCUCAUUUCAUGGAGCAGGAUGGGACCAUCGCUCCACCAGCUGAGAAAAUGAACGUGGACCUGCCACGGACACGCGCUGGAUUUUUCGUGGGGGGACGCUGUACCUGAGCCACAAGGCAGGUGAGUGCUGCAGCUCCUGGCCCAGUCCGAAGAUGAGGAGGGACGCUGGUGCUAGGAAAACUCUGUCCUGGCUCAACAAAAGUCUGGAGGCUUGAAUUAGGCCUGUUUUUACAGACUGGAGGGCUUAGCCAAAGCUAACUUAGGCAGAGAGCCUUUCUGCCCGCAGCAUACAACCCCCAGCUCAGCACGGAGGCACCUGUCUUCACCCAAGGCUGGUAAUCAAAUAAUCGAUGUGCAUAUUCAGCCCAACCCAGAGCAAUAAUUUGCACAAAAUAAAACAGCAGCAUUGCAUGUCCA
rnacentral:lncRNA from 1 species